GAUAAUACAGCUUUUGGUUGGCUUUGCUUUUGUGCCCGGUGUGUGUGUGUGUAUGUGAACCGAGCUCAUCGUGGUUUACACACAACAAACCGAGUUUGAGGAUUUCGAUGAAACAGCCACCCACCCUUCGACUUUCACUUCCUUGUUUUUGCAGGGCGAAUUCGGCGUCUACCUGGUCUCUGACGGGACCAGCCGUCCGUAUCGGUGCAAGAUUAAAGCACCUGGCUUUGCACACUUGGCCUCUUUGGAUAAAAUGUCCAAGGGACACAUGCUUGCUGAUGUGGUAGCCAUCAUUGGCACCCAGGAUAUCGUCUUUGGCGAAGUGGACAGAUAGAUCAACGUCCGUUCCGGGGGGAGGGAGGGGGGGAGACGGGAUAGGAACCCACUCCUCACUCUGGAUGCCGUCUGCCCCCCACCAGGAAUCUUCACUCAGCGUCCUACUACUGUUUGUUGCGUGUAACUAUAUUUGUUUGUAAUACAACGCUGGGACACCAGGCCAGGAUGAGCAAACAGAAUAAUAAAACUGAUCUCUCAAAAUAUAAAUGUGUUUGU
ensembl:lncRNA